AUUGAACGCUAGCGGGAUGCUUUACACAUGCAAGUCGAACGGCAGCGCGGACUUCGGUCUGGCGGCGAGUGGCGAACGGGUGAGUAAUGUAUCGGAACGUGCCCAGUAGCGGGGGAUAACUACGCGAAAGCGUAGCUAAUACCGCAUACGCCCUACGGGGGAAAGCAGGGGAUCGUAAGACCUUGCACUAUUGGAGCGGCCGAUAUCGGAUUAGCUAGUUGGUGAGGUAACGGCUCACCAAGGCGACGAUCCGUAGCUGGUUUGAGAGGACGACCAGCCACACUGGGACUGAGACACGGCCCAGACUCCUACGGGAGGCAGCAGUGGGGAAUUUUGGACAAUGGGGGCAACCCUGAUCCAGCCAUCCCGCGUGUGCGAUGAAGGCCUUCGGGUUGUAAAGCACUUUUGGCAGGAAAGAAACGUCGCGGGCUAAAACCCCGUGGAACUGACGGUACCUGCAGAAUAAGCACCGGCUAACUACGUG
rnacentral:rRNA from 1 species